AGACAUGUUUUUUUUGCGGUUAUUACGUGAACGAAACACGAAAACAAUUAUUAUUGUACGAUACACACCGAAGAUACGGAAGAUAUUUUAUUAUGUUUAUAUCAUUUUUACGACCGACGAAACGACUCCCGGCGCGGCCAUUACACGUCGAGAGGUAAUAUCCACUAUCUUAUACUUAUAUUAUUAUAUAAAUCACGAAAACACAAAGUCAACGAGCAGCUCGGUCUUGGAAAAUCUAUCGAGGCGAACUCGUAUAUACCUAGUCCUCUUAUUUGUCAAACGGGUCGAAUAGGUAGGUACCUGCGUGUCGUGUGCGUGGACGGAAUCGUUGUAAUUACUUUUUUUUCGUAAUCUUUUAUCAUAAUAUCAUUAUACAGUAACGGUUUUCGAAAA